AGAAAACCUGAGAUUGGCCAGCCACUCAGCACUGAUGGGGCAUCUUUAAUGAGUCUCAGAAGGACCCUGAAGCCAGUGACAGGCCUGAACUGGACGUCAUUAAACUUGGGUGUGAGAUCGGCCCCAGACUCUGCUUAUUUGGAUGACCUUAAGCCAACCUGUCACCGGGAGAAAUAGCACUCGAUUGAAAAACUUCACAGCCUGAGAACAUGCAGGGCUAUGGCAUCCCAUAACCAGAAUGUGUGGGACCCACCCCUCUCCCCGUUCUACUGGUGAGAAUGACUUCACCACAUGAGGAUAAAAACGACCUCAGAAAUACUCAUGAGAAAGGAAAAAUUCAGGUACUUUGCUACAUGGCCCUGAAAUGCAAGCAAAACGCAAUUGAUCUAUACCCCAACAGGAGAAAGGUUAAGCACAAAAGAGUUGGGAAGGCAAGCCAGGGUCUCUGCUUCCUGUGACCAUGUCAGACUCACCAAGGAAUGGAGGGAUGUCUGAUAGAGUGGGAAGGAACUCUCCAGCCCAUCAGCUCUUAAGGACUCUGAAAAUGGAUGAGACAGAUGCUUCGGUCCACCUCAAUGGCCCAGAUACCUGCCUCUUCACAUAGCAUCCCUUGGAUCACACACUAAAAUGCAUCCUCAGUAAUUAAGGUAUAGCCUGAGAAUCCCAAAACAAUGAGGUUAAUAUGGCACUGUAACACUGCCUGACCUCAGUACAAACUGGGUGGGAAAACUUUGGCCAAACGAUACAUAUAUAAACUACAACUACAGUACCACUGAAACAAUUUUGUAAGAGACAAGGAAAUGGUCUACAGUGGAAAGAUACUGAAAGAUAAGAUGGCUCUCCUAGAGCAAACAACCAUGGCUUCCUGGUUCCCAGCCCCUUCUGAGAUCAUCUGUUGGCAUAAUCUUGUUACUCUUGCUUAACCCUUACACUUCUAAUGUUAUAACAUUUGUAACUUCUAGUAUAUGUAACAGUUUCAAACUAAACUCCUUGUAAUUCAGGGAGUCCAACCAACUCCUAUGGUAGAAAAGCCAAGCUUCCCCCAUGCCUCCAGCCAGUAGGUAUAGAGUCUUGUGAUCCCUCUUAAGUAGAGACUGUACUCUCAACAACAUGAAACUAAUUACAAAGAAAUUGUCAUUGUAAUUUUGGUCCUAGCUCUCACUCUACUUUCUGCCCCCUCCCCACCAAAAAAAAAAAAAAAAAAAAAAAAAAAAAA